GACGAACGCUGGCGGCGUGCCUAACACAUGCAAGUCGAACGAGAAUCGACGGAUUGAGACUUCGGUUGAUUGAAGUUGAGGAAAGUGGCGAACGGGUGAGUAACGCGUGAGAAACCUGCCUUUCAGUGGGGGACAACAGUUGGAAACGACUGCUAAUACCGCAUAAUGUGCCGGGAGGGCAUCCUCCUGGUACCAAAGCUUUAUGUGCUGAAAGAUGGGUCCUCGCGUCUGAUUAGCUAGUUGGUGAGGUAACGGCUCACCAAGGCGACGAUCAGUAGCCGGUCUGAGAGGAUGAACGGCCACAUUGGGACUGAGAUACGGCCCAGACUCCUACGGGAGGCAGCAGUGGGGAAUAUUGGGCAAUGGGGGAAACCCUGACCCAGCAACGCCGCGUGAAGGAA
rnacentral:rRNA from 1 species